GCAUUAAUGGGGUAGUGGUAACCUGGGUCGUUGCCACGGUACGGAAAUUUCGACCCACCGGGGGUUCAAUUCCCCCUUAAUGCA
rnacentral:tRNA from 1 species